rnacentral:rRNA from 1 species
AUUGAACGCUGGCGGCAGGCCUAACACAUGCAAGUCGAACGAGUGGCGGACGGGUGAGUAAUGUCUGGGAAACUGCCCGAUGGAGGGGGAUCACUACUGGAAACGGUAGCUAAUACCGCAUACCAUCGGAUGUGCCCAGAGGGGAUUAGCUAGUAGGUGGGGUAAUGGCUCACCGAGGCGACGAUCCCUAGCUGGUCUGAGAGGAUGACCAUCAACACUGGAACUGAGACACGGUCCAAACUCCUACGUGAGGCAGCAGUGGGGAAUAUUGCACAAUGGGCGCAAGCCUUAUGCAGCCAUGCGGCGUGUGUGAAGAAGGCCUUCGGGUUGUAAAGUACUUUCAGCGAGGAGGCGUUACUCGCAGAAGAAGCACCGGCUAACUCCGUGCCAGCAGCCGCGGUAAUUC